CCUACGGGAGGCAGCAGUAGGGAAUAUUAGUAAUGGGCGAAAGCCUGAACUAGCAACGCCGCGUGUGCGAAGAAGGCCUUCGGGUCGUAAAGCACUUUUUGAGAGGAUGAGGAAGGACGGUACUCUCAGAAUAAGUCUCGGCUAACUACGUGCCAGCAGCCGCGGUAACACGUAGGAGGCAAACGUUAUCCGGAUUUACUGGGCGUAAAGCGCGUGUAGGUGGUUUGGUAAGUAGGGCGUGAAAGCUCCUGGCUCAACUGGGAGAGGACGUUCUAAACUGCCAAGCUUGAGGAUGGUAGAGGGAGGUGGAAUUCCGGGUGUAGCGGUGGAAUGCGCAGAUAUCCGGAGGAACACCAGUGGCGAAGGCGGCCUCCUGGACCACUCCUGACACUCAGACGCGAAAGCUAGGGUAGCAAACGGGAUUAGAUACCCUGGUA
rnacentral:rRNA from 1 species